rnacentral:lncRNA from 1 species
GAGUGGCUACAUCACAGAGCCUCUGACCCUGAGAUCCAGGAACAGUAGAAAACCCCAGGCAGAGCUGAAGACAGUGACAGAAGGGAUUAUUGCUUCUGAAGAAGAAAAAAAAUGAUUACAAGAUCUCGGCUCACUGCAACCUCUGCCUCCUGGGUUCAAGCGAUUCUCCUGCCUUAGCCGUGAUGUUCAGUUUCUAAUACUGAUCACCUAUUUUACCGUCUUUUACAACUUCGUUGUAGGAGGUGUGAAAGAGGAGGGAAAUUGUGUUGGAAGAGGAGAUUAGGACAUCAAGAGACACCAAGAGUAACCAUGUACAGAGAAAAACAUCAUAUGAAGACACAGCAAGAAGGUGGCCAUCUGUAAGCCAAUUGAUGGAGAGACUCAAAUUAACAAAGAACUGUGGAAUAUUUCUAGCCAAAAGCCACUGGGGAACUGAUUCCUGCCAACAACCACUGAACUUCGAAGUAGAUCCAUCAGCAACUGGACCCUCAGAUGCGACCCAUGUAUGACACCUUGAUUGGGAUCCUGUGAGAGACCCUCAGGCAGAGCACCUAGUUAAGUCAAACUCAGAUCGCUGACUCCCAGAAACUGUAAGGACUCUCCUGCAUACCUGUCACCAAACCUCCAGGUCAAUCUCACAUUUACUCUUGAAGAAAUGGAGUCGAAGAUGAAAUAGAAAAUAAUUAGGUAAUGAAAUGCUAAUAUAGGAAUUGAAUGUCAGCUGCAGUGCUCAGAAGCAUAAGGUUGUGAUAAAUGUUUUGGAGGAAAAUAGAAAGAAGGCUGUGGUUUGAAACGUCUCAACAAACUUCCAAUCAUGCAAAACUUGAGGGAACGAGGAACAGCAAAGCUUGGCACUUUGGAAGCUUGAUAACAUCACAGCAUGGAAGAAAAGUGGAAGGAAGGAAAAGAAAGAAAGAAAGAAGGAAGGAAGGAAGG